rnacentral:rRNA from 1 species
GAUGAACGCUGACAGAAUGCUUAACACAUGCAAGUCCACUUGAAUUUGGGUUUUUACCUUAGGUUUGGGUGGCGGACGGGUGAGUAACGCGUAAAGAACUUGCCUCACAGCUAGGGACAACAUUUGGAAACGAAUGCUAAUACCUAAUAUUAUGAUAAUAGGGCAUCCUAUAAUUAUGAAAGCUAUAAGCGCUGUGAGAGAGCUUUGCGUCCCAUUAGCUAGUUGGAGAGGUAACGGCUCACCAAGGCGAUGAUGGGUAGCCGGCCUGAGAGGGUGAUCGGCCACAAGGGGACUGAGACACGGCCCUUACUCCUACGGGAGGCAGCAGUGGGGAAUAUUGGACAAUGGACCGAGAGUCUGAUCCAGCAAUUCUGUGUGCACGAUGAAGUUUUUCGGAAUGUAAAGUGCUUUCAGUUGGGAAGAAACAAAUGACGGUACCAACAGAAGAAGAGACGGCUAAAUACGUG